GACGAACGCUGGCGGCGUGCCUAAUACAUGCAAGUAGAACGCUGAAGCGAGGAGCUCGCUCUUCUUGGAUGAGUUGCGAACGGGUGAGUAACGCGUAGGUAACCUGCCUUGUAGCGGGGGAUAACUAUUGGAAACGAUAGCUAAUACCGCAUAACAAUGGAUGACACAUGUCAUUUAUUUGAAAGGGGCAAUUGCUCCACUACAAGAUGGACCUGCGUUGUAUUAGCUAGUAGGUGAGGUAAUGGCUCACCUAGGCGACGAUACAUAGCCGACCUGAGAGGGUGAUCGGCCACACUGGGACUGAGACACGGCCCAGACUCCUACGGGAGGCAGCAGUAGGGAAUCUUCGGCAAUGGGGGCAACCCUGACCGAGCAACGCCGCGUGAGUGAAGAAGGUUUUCGGAUCGUAAAGCUCUGUUGUAAGUCAAGAACGGGUGUGAGAGUGGAAAGUUCACACUGUGACGGUAGCUUACCAGAAAGGGACGGCUAACUACGUG
rnacentral:rRNA from 1 species